rnacentral:pre_miRNA from 1 species
ACAACAUACGGAGCGUCGGUCUACCGAGCAAUAUCACCCCCUCGGUGGAAGUUCUUCCCUUUGUCGU